UAUCUGGGCAUGGUGGUAUGUGCCUGUAGUCCCAGCUACUUGGGAGGCUGAAGUGAGAGGAUCACCUGAGCCCAAGAUAUUGAGGCCUCAGUGAGGCAUGAUUGUGCCACUGCACUCCAGCCUGG